GUCGGAAUGGCGUAGUGGCAUCGCAUCCCUCUCACACAGGGAAGGACGGGAGUUCGAUCCUCUCUUUCGACU